rnacentral:misc_RNA from 1 species
GAAAUGCGAUAAGUGGUGUGAAUAGCAGAAUUCAGUGAAUCAUCGAAGCUUUGAACGCACAUUGCGCCCGCUUGCACUCUGGCGGGCGUGCCAGUUCGAGCGUCGUUGCAACCAUCAAGCCCCCGGGCUUGCGUUGGGGACCUGCGGCUGCCCGCAGGCCCUGAAAACCAGUGGCGGGCUCGCUGUCACCCCGGUCGUAGUAGUAUCAUCUCGUCCAGGGCGUGGCUGCGGGCUCCGGUCGUUAAACCUUCUCAAACCCAAAGGUUGACCUCGGAUCAGGUAAGAAUACCCGGUAAACUUAA